GGGAAUUCAAGCUUUAACUUUUAAUUCAAGCCAAACUGCAGAUGUUUUUAAAGUAUUCGACUUAAACUAAGACUUCAUUAGCAUAGUCAUGUCCCUGAUGGUCUAGUGGCUAGGAUUCGGCGCUUUCACCGCCGCGGCCCGGGUUCAAUUCCCGGUCAGGGAAAUGAGAUUUAGAGUUUGGAAUUCCAGAUCCAACUUUUAAUUCAAGCAAAAUUGCAGAUGUUUUUAAAGUAUUCGACUCAAACUAUGACUUCAUUUGCAUAAUUGUGUCCCUGAUGGUCUAGUGGCUAGGAUUCGGCGCUCUCACCGCCGCGGCCCGGGUUCAAUUCCCGGUCAGGGAAAUCAGAUAUAAAGUGUUAAAUUCCUAGUCGGGGAAUUGAAACUCUAAAUUUUAAUUCAAGCCAAACUACAGAUGUUUUUAAAGCAUUCGACAUGAACGAUGACUUCAUUUGCAUAAUUGUGUCCCUGAUGGUCUAGUGGCUAGGAUUCGGCGCUCUCACCGCUGCGGCCCGGGUUCAAUUCCCGGUCAGGGAAAUCAUAUAUAAAGUGUUAAAUUCCUGGUCAGGGAAUUCAAGCCAAACUGCAGAUGUUUUUAAAGUUUUCGACUUAAACUAAGACUUCAUUUGCAUAAUUGUGUCCCUGAUGGUCUAGUGGCUAGGAUUCGGCGCUCUCACCGCCGCGGCCCGGGUUCAAUUCCCGGUCAGGGAAAUGAGACUUAGAGUUUGGUAUUCCAGAUCCAACUUUUAAUUCAAGCCAAACUGCAGAUGUUUUUAAAGUUUUCGACUUAAACUAAGACUUCAUUAGCAUACCAAACUACAGAUGUUUUUAAAGCAUUCGACUUAAACUAUGACUCCAUUUGCAUAAUUGUGUCCCUGAUGGUCUAGUGGCUAGGAUUUGGCGCCUUCACCGCCGCGGCCCGCGUUCAAUUCCCGGUCAGGGAAAUCAUAUAUAAAGUGUUAAAUUCCUGGUCAGGGAAUUCAAGCCAAACUGCAGAUGUAUUUAAAGUAUUCGACUUAAACUAAGACUUCAUUUGCAUAAUUGUCUCCCUGAUGGUCUAGUGGCUAGGAUUCGGCGCUCUCACCGCCGCGGCCCGGGUUCAAUUCCCGGUCAGGGAAAUCAGAUAUAAAGUGUUAAAUUCCUAGGGCUGGAAUUGAAACUCUAAAUUUUAAUUCAAGCCAAACUACAGAUGUUUUUAAAGUUUUCGACUUAAACUAAGAC
ensembl:lncRNA